rnacentral:lncRNA from 1 species
GAGGGCAACUUCCUAUUCUUGUUCAGAUUUGAAAAGAAACCCUAAAUAAAAUUGGACUUUGCCCCAAGUUUUAUUGGAGAUUGUAAAAAAAAAAUCCAAUUGAAAAGUUAAAGAAAACUAAUAAAUAAAAUUGUGAUUUUAUUUUUCAAACGGGUAACAGGUAUCUGUGGAUAUGGAUAGUGGGAUACCCGAACCCGAC